rnacentral:lncRNA from 10 species
ACUGCCGGACUAACAAGACCUCAGACCUACAGUUUGCUACUUCUGGACAAUUCCAUCUUCCACUUCUACCUGAAAAAGUAAAUGACAGCCAGAACAUAUUGGAAUUGAUGAAAAAAAAGACUAGGAAUGAUUUUUCUUUUAAAAUUUCCACAAUAUGCUCUUUGGGUGAACAAUUACAUAGGCUAUCUCCUUGAAAGUGAAAAAUGAUGUACUUUUAAGCAAUCUUGCUCUCAUUGAUUAAUUACAUUUUCACACUUUUUUUGACCCUAUAAAUCUGUUAUGCUACUUUCUCUACAAUAAUUGAGAAUCUGAAUACUAAUUUUCCUUUAUGUCAUUUUGUAGAAUAGUGAUAUGAUUUCUCAAAUAUGCUUGUUAUGCCAAAUCCCAUUACAGAAAUAAUUUGGGUCUCUUCAUCAAAAAAAUUAAAAUGUGCUUAUUACGUGUGUUUUUUACAGCAAAAUACUACUUGCUGUUUCUCUUAUUUUAACCUUUAAUAGUUAGACUGAACUUGAUAUACAUUGUUUACAUCUAUCAUCAGUAAAGUGUUCCACUAUUUAAAUAAUGCUUUCAAGAUACUUUUAUGGCAACCACUGCUCUUGAAUUGUCGUGGCGAAUCAUUCAAUCUUACCAAACAAAAUUAUUUUCAUCAAUCAUUAUUUAGUUAUAGUCAAUAUAUAUUGUCACUUACUGAUGAUAACUUUUUGUAUAUGUUUUUUUAAUUUUUAAAAAAAUUUAUUGAUGCAUAACUGUACAUAGUUUUGGGAUACAUGUGAUAAUUUAACACAUUCAUGUAAUUUGUAAAUAUCAAAUCAGUGUACUUGGGAUAUCCAUCACCUUAAAUAUUUGUCUUUUCUUCAUGCUAGAAACUUUGAAUUAUUCUCUUCUAGCUAUUUUGACAGGUACAAUAGAUGGCUGUAAGCCGUAGUCACCAUACUGAUCUAACACAAGGCCUUAUUUCUUCUCUCAAACUAUAUAGUUGUAUCCAUUAAUCAGCUUCUCUACGUUCCUUCUUCCCCACUACCCUUCCUGGACUCUGGUAACCACCAAUCUAUCCUGUAUCAUCUUGAAACCCGCUUUUUUAGCUCCCACAUAUGAGUGAGAAGAUGUGAUAUUUGUCUUUCUGUACUUGGUUUAUUUUGCUUAACAUAAUGACCACCAGUUCCAACGAUGUUGCUGCAAAUAACUAAAUUUCACUCUUUUUUAUGGCCGAAUAAUAUAUUUUUGUAUAUUUUCAUAUAAAAUUUUUGUGGCUUCAUCUUUUAAUCUGAAAAAUAGAAUCUGUAACUCUCUAGAAACCUGAUCACCAAGCUAACAACAUCUCACAUAAAUCACUGUACUAAAUCUGAAAUUUAAAUAGACAUAAUAUUUUAAAUUGGAAUUUUUGCUUAGAAAUUAGAGAUCAAACAUUUGACUUACUUGUGAAGUACAUUUUGAUUCUCUUACUUGUCUUACUGUCCCUUUAUCUCCAUACUCAGCAUCUGUUGUCAUAUGAGAACAAACUAUUUUUCUUUUUGUAAUUUUAUUGUAAAAUAAAACAUAGUCUCGCCAUUUGAAAUUGCUAAUAUUUAGCUGUUUUAACCUACAAAAAUGGCAACUUCAUAUGGUUCAACAUAAUACAUACAGAUAAGAGAAUAAAACAUAAUAUGAACAGUUUAACAAACAAAAUUAUAAAGAGAAUACCCAUGUUUCUUUACCCAGGGAAAGAAAUACAACAUCAUGAGCACUCUAAAAGGUUUCAUAUUCACCAUGUCUUGCUCCUCAGAGGUAAUCACUAUUCUGACUUUUGUGACAAUCAUUUCCUUAGUUUGCUUUAUAUUGUUUUAUCAUCUAAAUAAUAUAGCCUAUUUUUCCUGUUUUAAAUGUUAUAUAAUAAAAUAACAUAUGUAUGCUCUUAUGUUUUGGUUUUUGUUUUGCAUAUGCUUGUGAGAUGCAUCCAUAUUAUUGCACAAAGACACAGUUCUCUUAUUUUUACUGAUGUAAAGUAUUCCAUUGCACAAACACAAUACAUCUAUCCAUUCUACUGUAAAUGGAUAUUUGAAGUGUUUCUGCUUUCAUGUACAACCAAAGAUAUUAUGAACAUUCUUUUACAUAUAUCCUUGCAUGUAUGUACUUCUAUUUCUCUAGGUAUAUACCUAGGAUCGGAACUAUGAGGUAUGGGGUAUGUAUAUCUCUCAUUUUACUAGAUGCCAAAUUUUUCCCAACGGUUGUACCAAUUUUUCGUGGUAAUUUGUCAUUCUGAAUUACUCCAGGAAAUCAUUCAUUAUCACCAGACAAAAUGAUUAGCUCCAAUUAUAAUUUAGGUAUGGUCUCAAUAUGUAAUUUAUUAAUGGAGUUCCCACCAAUAGUUUAUGGAGAAUUCCUAUUGUCCUACAUUCUCCUACUUAGUAUUGUCAG